UCCACACUACAAUCCAAAAGGGGGCGCGCACAGUGAUGCUUUUUAGCCUAACCUCUUUUAACCAGCAUUAACCACCAAUAAUCGCAAUAAGUUCAGUGUUUUGUUACUUUCGAUUAGAAACAAAGUGCCAUCUUUCAAAUUCUGUCCAUUUUAUCACGAAAUUCAAAAAAUAAAUGCCGUUUUGACGCUUUUUAAUGUCGUGACAGAUGGCCGUAUAGGCGCCUCAGUUCAAACGGCAGCGCGUAGCGCGAGUGAACGCGAUCAUCUCUUCCUCUUUAAAUACUACAGAAUGAACAUGAUGAAGAACAGAAGUCAACACUCCAAGAUUCAGAGCGGGACACUUCUGUCUGUCUCUUAUCAUAAUCCAGAUUGGCUACAUGCAUCGUCUGGUCUGCUUCUGAAAUCUGUCCCUGCAUCUGGGACCGCACUGCCAGCCUGUGUCACUGCUCAAACUGGAUUAAAUCAUACAGUGCUGGCAGAACAACAGUGCAACACCUAAAGAGUGUUGAAGUCCUUGAAAUUCGUCACGGCUGUCAGGGGCCCUAGCUCAAGAAAUCUGUGCCAAUCAUGAAGGCUGUGAGGGUUUUGGCAGAAUGAAGAGAUGAUAGAAUGCAGUGCUGCUAGUGGGGAUUCGGAAGAUGGAAACAAAAGUUUCAUUGGUGCACGCCUCUGCAUUUGAGCACCGUGUGGACAGUAUAACAUCUGACAGGACAGGAAAGUCAAUUUUUCUGAGAGCGGCUCCUGAGGCUGCAGCACAUCUGUGAGUUUGAAGAAAUGUGCUCCACCCUGCAGCAAAACCAUAAAAGUUGAUAAUACAAGGCUGGUAAUAAAAAUGAAGCCAAAAUAUCCCAGAAAUGGCAGCUGACAUCUUGUGGCGAUGACGUAAAUUGAUCGUGAGGUGGAGCCGUGGUAUCAAGAUCACGCCCAUUAUCCCGCAGACUCAACCGCAAGCACAGCUGUCUAUCAUGGCGGUACACACAAUUUUUAUAUCUUCAAAUAAUUAACUAAAACCAAGCUUAUUAGAAAAAAGAACACUUGAACAUACAUCAGCAAAACUACCUAAAGUGACAGAAAAAAAUUUAUUCGGCUCGCGUCCCAUUCCAUUAAAUAGAGAGGGUGGGUUUACGUCCUAUACUGCAGCCAGCCACCAGGAGGCGAUCAAAAUGUUUUGGCCUCAGUUUUCAGGAUGUGUGCGGCACUCUUGAAAUGAGUGAGAACCAGUGAGAUCCACAUAGCAACUCCAUAUCAACCAUCCAGACCACCCUAGCAACCAUAUAACAACGCCCUGGCAACCAUCCACAACAUUCUAGCAUCACUGCAGCAAGUUUUGCAUGGAGCAAACCCCCUCUGGAGUGCAAGAAAGCCUCGGACAGCAGAAGUCCAGCCUCCUGUGCCCCCGAUGUUGCACUCACUCCUAUCCAGCCUUUCAAAGGCAAGACCUUUUGGGGCUUUCAGUGACUCAGAGUGCCCUGAGUCCUGGUGAGGCCACGGAGACCCGCUGAUCUUUCUUUGGAAGAGUGAUAUUGUUGGAAUUUGAGAACAUGGAGUCACACAGCAAUGAUGGCUUUUACUGGCUGGGAGCGCUGAGCACACGUUUGGCCUUAUCGAAUGAAACAGCGCUGGAAUAUUUCACGUUGACUCCUGACUUAAAGCUUUAAAAGUGAGGAACAGCUUGCUUCGCUCCAAGGGAAGUUUUUCUUUCGCACAAAGCUGCAUUUACUCCAACUGAAGGAGUAGACCAUGACAUAUGCUGAGCCGGAGUUCAGAGAUGCCACAUUCACAGUAAACGUCAAGCCAUCUUGUAUUGUUUCUUCACUGUGAACUGGGUUCUUUUGCCUCAAACAAACAAAGAAGCAAGUUCACCGACAGAGGUGACAAACAAGUCAAGCGCUAAUGACAUUGAACAUGUCCCAUCCCAGACAUCCCUGUGGGCCGCCUCCCUCUUGGAAAAUACCAGGGUACAUCUGGCAAAUUGUAAAGCUUGCUUUUGACCUGUCUCUCACCUGCUGUUUCAUAAGCCCUUCAUGAACUUCAUGUACAGAAACAUUCCAGUGUUCCAGUCAUUCCUGCUGGGUAAGAUUUUUAUAGUUUUAUUACUUAAAACAUGAAUCAGAUUAAAAUUGUUCAAAGAGUAGGAAAUAAUUAAAAAGUACGCAUUUUUGCACUUUCCAUACAUACACUCUUAGAAAAAAGGUACAAAAGCUGUUUCUAGGGCUGUACCCUUUCAAAAGUUACACCUUUGUACCCCUUAAGGUUGCAUAUUAGUACAUAUUAGUACCUAAAGUGUACAUGUUUGCACCUUUUGAACGGGUACCACCCCAGUGACAGCUUUUUUCUGAGAGUGUAGGGUACGACAAGGUCCGUUAUAUGCAGCAGUUCUUUCUGGUUCUCGAAUAUGAUUGGCUGAUAACCGUGUGAUAUUCUAGUGAUAACAGCACUCUUACCUUUUCACCAUUUGUAUCACUCCACUUGAAGCGACUGUCAAUGGUGGCCGAGCAAAUCCACCGUAAUUUUUGCUUGUUGUAACCAUGAACUGUCGUUUUAAGAGUUUUUUAGGCAAGAAUGUAGUUGUUUAGACCUGAAAUAUGUGACUCAUAUUUAAUCAUAGUGCCUAUUUUACAAUUUGUUUAGACGUUUUUGUAGAUUCAGUGCUCGUGUACCCGCUGAGAACAGCUUCAUCUCAGCCAGUGCUGUCUCUUAUAGUGGAUAAACGUGAUAUAAUUCUUUUUGGGUACAUAAAGUGGGCAAUCUUUGGUCUUAUUAAUCUAAUUACUUGUUCCUGAGCAAAUCUAAUUGGGCUAUGUUAAAUUUAAUAAUUUAAUAUUAAGGCUAUAUAUAACUUACAUCCUGUAGAGCACUGCUUUUGUACUUUUGACUGAAUUGUACAAUUGUGUUUAGUUCCUAUUGUCAUUUAUAAUGGCUAUUGUUGUUAGUUUAAACAUUGUUGUUUAAUAAAUAUUAUGGUAUAUAUUUGGUAUUGAGAAAGGGUCCAUUAGUGCAUAAUUUUGAUUUAGUAAAACUUACAUUAAUACGCCAUUAGAUGUCGGCAAACUUUACAAGUGAAUGAGUCAGUCGCAAGAGACUUUUAAAUUGAAAGGGACUUUUGUAAACAAAGGACGUUGUUUUAGCGCUGUUAUGGAAAAUUCCCUUAACUGUAAAAAAGGACAAAUACAAAGAUCGCUU